CCUACGGGAGGCAGCAGUGAGGAAUAUUGGUCAAUGGACGAGAGUCUGAACCAGCCAAGUAGCGUGAAGGAUGACUGCCCUAUGGGUUGUAAACUUCUUUUAUAUGGGAAUAAAAUGUUCCACGUGUGGGAUUUUGUAUGUACCAUAUGAAUAAGGAUCGGCUAACUCCGUGCCAGCAGCCGCGGUAAUACGGAGGAUCCGAGCGUUAUCCGGAUUUAUUGGGUUUAAAGGGAGCGUAGGUGGAUUGUUAAGUCAGUUGUGAAAGUUUGCGGCUCAACCGUAAAAUUGCAGUUGAAACUAGCAGUCUUGAGUACAGUAGAGGUGGGCGGAAUUCGUGGUGUAGCGGUGAAAUGCUUAGAUAUCACGAAGAACUCCGAUUGCGAAGGCAGUUCACUGGACUGCAACUGACACUGAGGCUCGAAAGUGUGGGUAUCAAACAGGAUUAGAUACCCGUGUAGUC
rnacentral:rRNA from 1 species